CCUACGGGAGGCAGCAGUGGGGGAUAUUGCACAAUGGGCGAAAGCCUGAUGCAGCGACGCCGCGUGAGUGAAGACGGUCUUCGGAUUGUAAAGCUCUGUCAUCGGGGAAGAAGAUGACGGUACCCAAAUAGGAAGCUCCGGCUAACUACGUGCCAGCAGCCGCGGUAAUACGUAGGGGGCAAGCGUUGUCCGGAGUUACUGGGUGUAAAGGGAGCGUAGGCGGGGUUGCAAGUUGGAUGUGAAAGCGGGGGGCUCAACCGGGGAUUGCAACGGAAACUGUAAGGCUUGAGUGGAGUAGAGGUAAGUGGAAGUCCUAGUGUAGCGGUGAAAUGCGUAGAUAUUAGGAGGAACACCAGUGGCGAAGGCGGCCUACUGGGCUGUAACUGACGCUGAGGCUCGAAAGCGUGGGGAGCAAACAGGAUUAGAUACCCGAGUAGUC
rnacentral:rRNA from 1 species